rnacentral:rRNA from 1 species
UACGUAGGGUGCAAGCGUUUGUCCGGAAUUAUUGGGCGUAAAGAGCUCGUAGGCGGUUUGUCGCGUCGAAUGUGAAAACCCGGGGCUCAACCCCGGGCCUGCAUUCGAUACGGGCAGACUAGAGUUCGGUAGGGGAGUCUGGAAUUCCUGGUGUAGCGGUGAAAUGCGCAGAUAUCAGGAGGAACACCGGUGGCGAAGGCGGGACUCUGGGCCGAUACUGACGCUGGAGGAGCGAAAGCGUGGGGAGCAAACAGGA